rnacentral:rRNA from 1 species
GACAGAGGGGGCAAGCGUUGCUCGGAAUUACUGGGCGUAAAGGGCGCGUAGGCGGGAUGGCAAGUCGGUCGUGAAAUCCCUCGGCUCAACCGAGGAACGUCGAUCGAUACUGCUGUUCUUGAGGAUUGCAGAGGAGACUGGAAUUCCCGGUGUAGCGGUGAAAUGUGUAGAGAUCGGGAGGAACACCGGUGGCGAAGGCGGCUAUCUGGACAGAAACUGACGCUGAGGCGCGAAAGCUAGGGGAGCAAACAGG